rnacentral:lncRNA from 1 species
CUGGAGCCCCUCCAGUGGAGGAUCAGGAUGCCAGCCAGAGACCAGGGAGUUUAACUUGGCCAAGAAGAAGCUUGGCGGGGCUUCUCAUCCACAGGAUGGCAGACUGAACAUGGCUUCUCAGGGCAUCAGAUCAGUGGGGGAGACUGCUCUAGGGCCCUCUGUGCCUGUACUCAGAAUUCCUGUGGUCUUCUAUGUCACCAAGGGAAAAAAGUGAAUGAGUGCUUUCACCAGAGGCCUCCAGGAAGGCUCAGCUCCAGGAGACAAAACCCAGGCAAACAAUCAGCUUAAAGGAAGCUUCCCUUGAGGCCUGGGGAGAGAUGCGUGGGGCUGAGAAAACUUUUCCAGGCUGUGGGAAGAGCUGCUGUGGACUCUGAACUUAUCCUUGCUCCUUCCUGAACACCAUUUCGAGAACAUCUCUGGUGCGGAUGUUAACCAGACGAACCGUACAAGCCAUGCACCUCCAAGUGGAGGUUCCUCUGGCUGUUCUGAAACUUCGGGGAACAGAAUGACUUUUUCAGGACUCUGGCUUUUCAGGUGAGACAGUUCCUGAUGAUGCUUUUUGGAGUAAGGGCUGAACAGGCACCAGGUACUGGUUUCUCAUGUGCUCCUUGUUAGUCACACCUCACCCUGUGUAGAGUACAAACACUCCCAAGUCAUGAACAACAGCAUCCCACAAGGAUGCAGGAGAACACAAUCCCGUUUGGUUUUUCAAACAAACUCAUUCAUUGGUGGGUACAGAAUUGCAGACUCCCUGAUACUCGUGUGCACACCCCAAGAUGAGGUCCCCUGCUCCAGGAAACCUGUAACUAAAAGCACUAGUUUCCUGAAGCUGGCUGAACUGGGUAAGGGUUUUCUAUUGCCUUUGAAGUGCAGAUCUGGAACCUCUGGGGAGCUUCUAUUUUAAAGAUACAAGAAGAAUAAGGCUGUUUCCUUCCUUUUAGAAGACCGACAGGUAUAAACAAACCAGGAGGGGUGGGGGCGGGCUGCCUGGUCUCUGAGGUCAGGAGCCAGCAACAGGAGCGGAGAAGCAUCCCUCUGCAAUGCAUGACUGCGAAGUAUGCAAAAUCAUGCCAAGUUAAUUUGGUGCAGCUGGGGAGGAUGGGCGGCUCUGUCAGAGUCUGUUGUUUGUGAGCCAAGCACCUCAUUUCUCCAGCUGUUCAUGAGCGUGUGUGUGUGUGUGUGUGUGUGUGUGUGUGUGUGUGUGUCCUAAAGGAAACAAAGAUGUAGAGGAAAUGAAGACGUUAGAGCCAGAAGCCAGUUUCUGCCAACAGGAACAAAGGGGACGAUUGUGCUUCUCAUUCGGAGGCCACACUGUCAAGAGGCACGAGACACCAAUACGCACUGAGACUGUAUGAGGGCCCCCGCCAAGGGAACGUCCAGAUACACUCUUUCACAACCCAGGGCUCUCAGAAAGACUGGUCAGGGCGUGGCUGCUUUCGUGGUGGCCUCUCCAAGUAAGAGAAAAUGCAAAUAUUGUGCCUGCUCUGUAGCUUUCUUCAAACCAGUGCAAGUCUUUCUCAGCGCAAGGUCACACUUUUCUCUCAAUAUUAGUUAAAAACAGCCCUGGUCUUGUUUCAGGAAAGCUUCCCAGGACAGUAGCCAAACUCUUACCAAACACACACACACACACACACUCACCAGUGUGGGAGGGGUGGGAGGAGGGAUGACCAAUCCAUGUGAUUUCCUGCCGGCCUAGAAUUGUGCUGGAGUCAGGAGCUUUCUCCGAGGAAGAGCCAGGCAGCAUUGGAGAAGCAGUGUGGUGUGCCUGAGCUCACCGGCUCUUCCAGCACCCACCUCAGGCAAGCAGUUUAGCUGCCUCACGGUGGAGGAAAUACCUACUUGGUGAGUCUGAAGCAGGACUCCAGGAAACGGCUGCCUGUGGAUGAGUUCUGGACACAGAGAACAAGUCUCUGGCUUUCAUUUAAUCGAACUUGAUCCACUCCGUUAAAAAAUUCAGCAAUUCAGGGACAGUUGAUGAGUUCCACAGGCCAUGUGGCCUCCUGAGACCCCAGCCUGGCCCUACCUGCCUUGCUAGAUAUGCAGACAGCUGAGGUGGACAGUCUGGCUUGCCCUGGGUGUUUCCAUCCUGGUGGGGUGAUGUGGACAUUUUGUCCCCUCCUCCCUUUCCCUCCUCUCCUCAAGGGCGGUGUGUGCAUCCAUUCUCACGGAAUGGUCUUGGUAUUGGUUAUGGUGUAGGGCGGUUCUUGGGGGUUUUUAUUUUUUUUAAUUUGUGUGUGCACACCUGUGUGUGGAGAUCAGAGGACAACUUUUGGGGAUUUGGUCUCAGUUUCUGCCCUGUCGAGAGGCAGGGUCUCUCUUGUUUCUGCCAUGCUGCAUACUCUGGGCUGGCUGUCCCUGAGGCUUCUCCUUCCCAGCUCUUCUCCUGCUCACUGUGGCUGGGGUAGAUGACAGGGCUUCACCACUGCAUCUGGCUCUUGACAGGGGUUCUGGUCUUUGGAGGCAAGCACUUUACCCACUGAGCAAUCUCUCUCUCUCUCUC